AACUCCCAAACCCCUGUGAACAUACCAACUGUUGCCUCGGCGGAUCAGCCCGCUCCCGGUAAAACGGGACGGCCCGCCAGAGGACCCCUAAACUCUGUUUCUAUAUGUAACUUCUGAGUAAAACCAUAAAUAAAUCAAAACUUUCAACAACGGAUCUCUUGGUUCUGGCAUCGAUGAAGAACGCAGCAAAAUGCGAUAAGUAAUGUGAAUUGCAGAAUUCAGUGAAUCAUCGAAUCUUUGAACGCACAUUGCGCCCGCCAGUAUUCUGGCGGGCAUGCCUGUUCGAGCGUCAUUUCAACCCUCAAGCCCAGCUUGGUGUUGGGACUCGCGAGUCAAAUCGCGUUCCCCAAAUUGAUUGGCGGUCACGUCGAGCUUCCAUAGCGUAGUAGUAAAACCCUCGUUACUGGUAAUCGUCGCGGCCACGCCGUUAAACCCCAACUUCUGAAUGUUGACCUCGGAUCAGGUAGGAAUACCCGCUGAACUUAAGCAUAU
rnacentral:rRNA from 1 species